AGCUACAGGCUUAACACAUGCAAGUCGAGGGGCAUCAGGAAGAAAGCUUGCUUUCUUUGCCGGCGACCGGCGCACGGGUGAGUAACACGUAUCCAACCUGCCCUUUACUCGGGGAUAGCCUUUCGAAAGAAAGAUUAAUACCCGAUAGUAUAAUGAUUCCGCAUGGUUUCAUUAUUAAAGGAUUCCGGUAAAGGAUGGGGAUGCGUUCCAUUAGGUUGUUGGUGAGGUAACGGCUCACCAAGCCUUCGAUGGAUAGGGGUUCUGAGAGGAAGGUCCCCCACAUUGGAACUGAGACACGGUCCAAACUCCUACGGGAGGCAGCAGUGAGGAAUAUUGGUCAAUGGGCGCUAGCCUGAACCAGCCAAGUAGCGUGAAGGAUGAAGGCUCUAUGGGUCGUAAACUUCUUUUAUAUAAGAAUAAAGUGCAGUAUGUAUACUGUUUUGUAUGUAUUAUAUGAAUAAGGAUCGGCUAACUCCGUGCCAGCAGCCGCGGUAAUACGGAGGAUCCGAGCGUUAUCCGGAUUUAUUGGGUUUAAAGGGAGCGUAGGUGGACUGGUAAGUCAGUUGUGAAAGUUUGCGGCUCAACCGUAAAAUUGCAGUUGAUACUGUCAGUCUUGAGUACAGUAGAGGUGGGCGGAAUUCGUGGUGUAGCGGUGAAAUGCUUAGAUAUCACGAAGAACUCCGAUUGCGAAGGCAGCUCACUGGACUGCAACUGACACUGAUGCUCGAAAGUGUGGGUAUCAAACAGGAUUAGAUACCCUGGUAGUCCACACAGUAAACGAUGAAUACUCGCUGUUUGCGAUAUACAGUAAGCGGCCAAGCGAAAGCAUUAAGUAUUCCACCUGGGGAGUACGCCGGCAACGGUGAAACUCAAAGGAAUUGACGGGGGCCCGCACAAGCGGAGGAACAUGUGGUUUAAUUCGAUGAUACGCGAGGAACCUUACCCGGGCUUAAAUUGCAGUGGAAUGAUGUGGAAACAUGUCAGUGAGCAAUCACCGCUGUGAAGGUGCUGCAUGGUUGUCGUCAGCUCGUGCCGUGAGGUGUCGGCUUAAGUGCCAUAACGAGCGCAACCCUUAUCUUCAGUUACUAACAGGUCAUGCUGAGGACUCUGGAGAGACUGCCGUCGUAAGAUGUGAGGAAGGUGGGGAUGACGUCAAAUCAGCACGGCCCUUACGUCCGGGGCUACACACGUGUUACAAUGGGGGGUACAGAAGGCAGCUAGCGGGUGACCGUAUGCUAAUCCCAAAAUCCUCUCUCAGUUCGGAUCGAAGUCUGCAACCCGACUUCGUGAAGCUGGAUUCGCUAGUAAUCGCGCAUCAGCCACGGCGCGGUGAAUACGUUCCCGGGCCUUGUACACACCGCCCGUCAAGCCAUGGGAGCCGGGGGUACCUGAAGUACGUAACCGCAAGGAUCGUCCUAGGGUAAAACUGGUGACUGGGGCUAAGUCG
rnacentral:rRNA from 1 species